ensembl:lncRNA
CCUGAUUCUAAAGGACGUCCAACACAUUCCUUUUUAAAAUGUCCUUUAAUUCUUGCCUUAUAGGAAGUGUGCAGUGCUCACCCGGCUGCCCCGAAUCUCGGUUCCUGCUCCUCACGCCACCCUGGAAACCUUGACGUUGCUACACAACAUGCCUAUGUCACUAGUUAUGAUUUUUUAAAGUUUAGAAGUCAUCCGUUGGCGUCCUCGGGUUGAAGCCCUAUCACGUUUUCUUACCUGCUGUCCAUCCUCUCUCCCCAUUUUCCCAAUUUAGUGAUAUCACAGUUUUUUGUCAAAUUAAUAUUUUGUAUUGUCAUCCUUAUGGUUAUGCAAAUAUUCUUCACAGCUUUAAAAUGCUCUGCAGUAUGAUUUUAAUUCCUUUCUUAUGCCAGUUUUAAUAAUUACUUUAGUUUUUAAUCUGCUUAGUUCUAUAGCAAAUAAUUAUCACUCAUUCAGCCCCAAACAUUCUAAAAGAACUCGAAUGCUCCUUUCAUGCAGGCAAACAUGCCAACUGGCCCGCCAGUUCCACCGUUUUCCCUCGCAGACAUGUCCUGGAGCCAGCCUUCUCAGCCCGAGCCAGGGGGGCGGGGAAGGGGCCUCACUGCCCAGAGGCUGGCUUUCCCUUCCCCACUGUAACCCGACUUUCUCUGGGGCACCCUCUUCAAGGGGAGGCUGGGUCAUCCAGGUGGACAUGUGGGCUGGGCUUGGAAUCUGGGGGCCCAGCUGCUCCUUGUUCAGACUUUACACGCCCCCUGCUCUCUGCCCUCCUGCCAACCCACCCUCUCCUCUCUCUUUGAAGGCACCUGUGCCUUGAUUCUCAAAACGUCCCGGGCUUCUGGACUGGGAGUCGAUUUUUUACCAGUUUCGUUUCCUCUGCAGGCGGUCAGAUUUCUGCUUUCACAGUUCAGCUAAGUCUGUGCCAUUUAUUCGACUGUUUUCUGCUUUCCCAAAUUUGGUUGACGUCUCUGGUCUGCCAUCUCUUCUCUCAUUCUCUUUCUCAUUCCUCUAGCGCCCUUCCACACAAUUUGGGGAACAAGUGGAGAUAAACAUGUGUUAUGUCCACCUGGUUUUGCUGAAAACCUCCUUCAGUCAAUUCUUGACUUUGUGUUUGAGGGACGAAAUCCACCUGUUUGGAGUGAGAAGGGGUGGUGGGGGUGAGUCCGCCCGGUCCGUCCCAUGGACCACCAGGAGUAGUGGGCCUCACACUGGAGCUGUAGGGCACGCUUUAUGGACAGUCACGUUUGCCUUUUCAAUAUCUCAUCCCUGCGUGUCCUCAGUCCGCGAUAAUCCUGCUCUUUGCACCAACACAGACAGUACCCUGUGGAACUCUUCCUCGCCACCCCCUGCUCCCCGGCCCCAGUCCUUCUAUCCCUCAUCUUCUCCCCAAAACGGCUGCUCUUGGCCGUGGCCUUGGCUGUGCCUCGUCAGUCUGUGGAUUAGGCCUUUGGACUGGACUUCUCUCUUUUGAAGUGGAUUGGAUGGGAUGGAGUGGCUUUCUCUCCAUUGCUGCAGACAGGGUGGAGGGAGCCUCAGAUCCUGCUGGUGGGAUGGAAGGAGGCCAUCACGGUCAUCUGGUCUCCAGGUGGAUUAUCUAAAAUAUAUCAGAUAUCUCGUGCUGUUGGCAUAUCUCCUGUGUUCUAUUAUCCUGAAGAGUGUCUGCCUUCUUCCUGGACUUGGUCAUGUGAUGAGCAUCCUCGUCAGUUAUCUUGGCCUCGGAAGGCAGGGGCUCUAGGAAGAGAAUGGAGGAGAGAAAAAUCACAAAAAU